AGAGACCGAUAGCGANCAAGUACCCGUGAGGGAAAGAUGAAAAGGACUCUGGAAAGAGAGUUAAACAGUNNGNGAAAUUGCUGAAAGGGAANCGCUCGANNNCNNNNGCGUCGGNUGGGGGUCAACCUUGCGGUUUUCUGCUGGGUGUAUUUCCUGGUCGACGGGUCAGCAUCAGUUUCGGUCGUCGUACAAGGGCCAAGGGAACGUGGCACCCUUCCGGGGGUGUGUUAUAGCCUUUCGGUCGUAUGCGGCGGCUCGGGANUGAGGAAACUCGGUGCUUGCGCCAGAGAUGCUGGCAUAAUGGCCUUGAGCGACCCGUCUUGAAACACGGACCAAGGAGUCUAACAUACCUGCGAGUGUUCGGGUGGCAAACCCGAUCGCGAAAUGAAAGUGAAAGUCGAGAUCUCCGUCCACGGAGUGCACCGACGCCCGGAUCCAUCGUCUUUGACGACGGAUCUGCGGUAGAGCAUGCAUGUUGGGACCCGAAAGAUGGUGAANUANGCCUGAAUAGGGCGAAGCCAGAGGAAACUCUGGUGGAGG
rnacentral:rRNA from 1 species